rnacentral:rRNA from 1 species
GCCUCUUGCAAUUAAAGUAUAAGAGGUCCUGCCUGCCCAGUGACAUUAGUUUAACGGCCGCGGUAUUAUGACCGUGCAAAGGUAGCGUAAUCACUUGUCUUUUAAAUAAAGACCUGUAUGAAUGGCAAAACGAAAGUUCAACUGUCUCCCUAAGUUAAUCAGUGAAAUUGAUUUUUCCGUGCAGAAGCGGAAAUAAAUUUAUAAGACGAGAAGACCCUAUGGAGCUUCAAAUAUAAAUCAAUUGUUUUAAUUAAAAAACCAUAAAUAUAAUAAAACAUAAUGAUUAAAAUUUUAGGUUGGGGCGACCACGGAAAAAAACAAAACUUCCGAGAUGAAAUAUUAUUAAUGAACAACAGUUCUAAAAAAUAAAAUAUUUAACAUAAUUGAUCCAAUAUUUGAUCAACGAACCAAGUUACCCUAGGGAUAACAGCGCAAUCCUUUCUAAGAGUCCUUAUCGACGAAUGGGUUUACGACCUCGAUGUUGGAUCAGGACACCCCAAUGGUGUAGCCGCUAUUAAAGGUUCGUUUGUUCAACGAUUAAAGUCCUACGUG